rnacentral:rRNA from 1 species
UACGUAGGGUGCAAGCGUUGUCCGGAAUUAUUGGGCGUAAAGAGCUCGUAGGCGGCCUGUCGCGUCUGCUGUGAAAACUCAGGGCUUAACCCUGAGCUUGCAGUGGGUACGGGCAGACUAGAGUGCGGUAGGGGAGACUGGAAUUCCUGGUGUAGCGGUGAAAUGCGCAGAUAUCAGGAGGAACACCGGUGGCGAAGGCGGGUCUCUGGGCCGCAACUGACACUCAUGGACGAAAGCUAGGGGAGCGAAUGGG